ensembl:lincRNA
CCUUGUCCUCCAUGCAUUUGGCAGCAUCACCAGGAGACAUUUGGGGUUGCCAUGCUUAGAUUGGCGGGGGCACUACUGGCAUCUAGUGAGUCAUGCCCCAAAGAUGCAGCUAAGCCUCCUCCAUGGCACAAGUUAGCCUCAUAACAAAGAGCCAUUCAGUCCCAAAUGUCACUAGUGCCAAGGGUGAGAAACUCUGCUCCAAGCUCUUAGUUGACUCUGCUGCACACCCAGCCUUGGGCCAGCUGAGCUGUGGGGAUGACAGGAAAGGGGGGCUGAUUCAGGCUGAGGCAGAGCUGGGAGGCCACAGGACAGCCGUCACAGGUAGGAGCUGUCUGGGCAGGAUGACUGGGAAUUCACCCAGAGGGAGGACCCAGAAGGAGCAGAAAGAAGACUAUGGUGCAGGAAUUUCUUCUGGCAGCCCUCGUGUCAGUAUCUUCAGAUCUCCUACUGCAGAGAAUUCUUUUGCAAAGACUUUUAUCUCCCCGAAGUGGACUCUUCAGUCUGGAAGCAUUAAAACAGGGAUUGCAGGCAAACUCCGGCUUUCCACGAAAAGAGCCCUGGAAAGAUGGGACCCUUUUGUCUGACUUUACAGCAAAUUUGGAAGCUGACUGAGCCUUACUCCUUUGGUGGAAAGAGUCUUGGGUGGCUGGUGCAGCCAGGACUACUACAGGGUUCAAACUUAUAAAGUUUGCGAGUUGGUAGCCUUCUUCUUCCUUCUUUUUCUUCUGCUUUUUCUUUUCCUCUUCUUCUCUCCCUCUUUUGCCUCUCCUUCCCUUCCUCUCCUCCUCCUCCUCUUCAUCAAUCUCCUUCUUCUUUCAGCAUUUUAUAAUGAGCAUUUUCCAACCUACAGCAAACCUUACUGAAUACUUAUAUACCUACCAUCCAGCCUCUACUGUUAAUGUUUUUGCUACAUUUGCUUUUUCAGAUUGCUCUCAACUUACCUUUAUUUUAUCAUAUCGAUCUACUCAUCCACCCUUCCACCUAUCCAUUAAUUUCUCUAAUUUUUAAGGAUUUCAGGUUAAAUUUGCAGUAUCAAUGUACCCGCCCCUAAAUGUUUCAGCGUUCAUGUCAUCACCUAUAGUUCAGUAUUUGUUUAUAGGAUUUUUUUCUUUGAAAUAAAACUAAUAUACAGUGAAGUGUACAGUUCUUAAGUGUACUUGAGUUUUGGUAAAUGAUUACCUUGUGUAGCCCAGAUUCCUAUAAAGAUUCUGCACAUACACAUCACCUCAGAAAGUUCCCUUGUCAGAUCAGCCUCUGCUCUUCUCAAGGGAACUACUCUUCUAGUUAUCUUCUACUAUGAGUUGAUUUUGUCUCUUCUUGGACUUCGUAUACUUGGAAUCUCACAAUCUGCACUCUUUUGGGUGAGACUUCUAUCAUUCAGAAUAAGAUCUGUGAGACUCACCCAUGGUGUUGUGGGUACAUUAUCCACUCCUUUUCUUGCCGAGUAUGACUCUAUUGUGUGAACAUAUCCUGUAUAUUAUUCAUUCUCCUAUCGAUGGACACUUGGAUGGCUUCCAAUUUAGAAUUAUUAUGAAUAAAGCUGCUCUGAAUACUAUUGUACAAGUCCUUUUGUGUACAAAUAUUUCCAUAUCUUUUGUGUAAAUACCUAGCAAUGGAAUUAUUGGGUUGUAGAGUAUAUGUAUAUUUACAGGAAGCUGAUAGGCCUUUUCCUAAAGUAAUUGUACCAUUUUAUUGGAGAAGGAAAUGGCAACCCACUCCAGUAUUCUUGCCUGGAGAAUCCCAGGGAAGGGGGAGCCUGGUGGGCUGCCGUCUACGGGGUUGCACAGAGUUGGACACGACUGAAAUGACUGACUUAGCAGCAGCAGCAGCAGCAACAUAGUCUUACUAACAUUGUAUGAGAAUUCUAGUUGUUCCACAAUCUUGCCAAAAUAUGGUGUUACCAGUCACUUUAAAUGUAACUCUUUGGGCAAGUAUGUAGAAGGAUCUAAUUGUGGUUUUCAUUUGUAUUUUUUCUGAUACCAGUGAUGCUAAAUGCCUUUUCAUCCACUUUUUGGUCAUACAGAGGUCUUAUUUUGUAAAGUAAUCAUUCACAUCUUUUGUCAAUUUUUGAAUGGGUUGUUUGCCUUUUUAUAAUUGGUUGUAGAGGUUCUUUAUAUUCAGGACACCAGCAGUCCUUUGUCAGAUAUAUGUUUUAAAAAUAUUUUCUUUCAAUCUGUAGCUUGCUGAAGCAUUUCCUUAGUGACACCUUAUGAUAAGCAGCUUUUAGUUUUGAUGAAAUAUAAUUUGUUAUCUUUUCUUUUGUGUCAUUUUCUGUAAAGUAACAAAUUUCUGAUUAUUUUGAAAUCUCUUCUCCUUUGUCUUCCUCUAAAAGCUUCACUGUUUCAUUUUUCAAAAUUGUGUAUGUGAUCAGUUUUGAAAUGGUUUCUAUGUUUGGUGUGAGGCAGUGGUUGAAGUCCAUUUUUUUUUCCAGGUAGAUAUCUAGUUAGCCUGGAAUCAUUUGUUAAAAAGAUCUAUGUAUCUCUAUUGAACUGCUUUGUCACCUUUGACAAAAACUAAAUACUUGUAAAAUGUGGGUCUAAUGCUGGACUCCCUAUUCUGGGCUCUCCACUGGUGAAGAUGAAUUGAGAUUUAUUAUUGUUAUUUAUUUAUUUAUUUAUUUUUGCAUAUGCACAUCCAAAUGUUUCAGUUCCAUUUGUUGAAAAGGCUGUCCAUUUUCCACUGAAUUGCUUUUGUAUAUUUGUUUAAAAUCAAUUGACCAUGUAUGUAUGGGUCUAUUUCUUGAUGGUCUUUCCUUAUCUUUGAUGCAAAUGUGUAUCCUUUUGCCAGUAUAGUAAGUCUUGAUAUCAAGUAGUAGGCAUAUUUUUUUUUUUUUCCAAAAAUUGCUUUGAAUAGUCCAAGUCUUUUUCAAUUCUGUUUAAAUUGGACUCAGCAUGUCAGUUUCUGAGAAAAAAGAAAACCUGCUGAAAUUCUGACUGGGAAUCAUAUUUAUAGAUCAGUUUAGGGGGACAUGAACAUGAUAGGCCUCCAUUUGUCUUCUUUUUCUUAGAGUUUUCUAUAGCUUUUAAUGUACAGAACUUGCACAUCUUUUGAAAAUUUACU